CACAGAGCCAAAGCCCCAUUGGUAGGGCACCUUGCCGAAUGUGUAACCUGCUCCCUGAUUGGUUGGCUGCACUGCUGCGUGUUGCUGUUCCUGAGGUCCUUCGCUGGCGGUGGCGGUAGCAGGGCGAGGUGCUGGCUAGAGCCAGAAUAGCUCGAAUGCCAUUUCCGUAGCCUUUUGCCAGUCUGGAGUGACUCUGAAGAUGAGUCCUGGUCAACGUUGGACAGUGCCAAAAGGGAUGAUACUGCAGACCCAUGACAAAUGAGAUUUGGUGGUGGCUUCACAGCAAAAAUCUGAUCAAGAUGCCAUAACAGUAGAAGACGCACAGAAAUGAAAGGCUGGAAGGGACGUUGAGAGACCAUCAAGUCGAACCCCCUGCCUGCACUGAGAUUGGCCCAAGUAAACCAGAACAUCCCUGGCAGUUGCUGUCUGGUCACCCUAAAUAAAAAGGGUUUACUGAUAUCAGUCAAAGACUAUGUAUUAUGAAUGGUGAACAAGAUGAGCAGAAAGUCAGAAAUCAGCUUUUCACUGGAUUCUGAAAUCAGCUGUAUUGCAUAGCACCAGUACAAUGAGAUGAGAUGGCCCAUCCAGCUCUGCUCACCCUGAGAAGGAUGACUGAAGGAGAGGGACCUGACCAGACCAACUAGAUAAUGUCCCUGUCUGGGGAGAAGAGCCAGUGUCCAGAACAAUAGCUUUCAUGGCUGACCUGCAAGACCAAAGCAUCUGUCCCAUGACUGACCAGCCACCCUGUAUCCUAAGCUGUAUUUUCCCCAUCUUUAUUAUCCUAGUUUUUCUCUCUCUCCUGUGUCUAUUUUGUCUAAUGCAGGAAAGUGACUAUUAUUCUAAAUUCAAAAUUGAAUAAUAGAACACCAAGGGCUAUUUGACUAAAUAAGAGAUGUUAACUAAUUAUUCAUGUCUCUAGAAAAGACUUUGAUAGGUUUUUAUUAUUUGUUCUUUAUCUUAUUUUGCUUCUUUCCUUUUGUGUGUUUCAAGUAAUACAUUUCUAAGUUUUGGUCUGAGUUUUAUAGUAUAUUUGCCAUGGUAUUAAGGAGUCUGAGGUCUUUAUAUAUCAAACCCUGGAGCUUUUAAACAUUGUUUAAUGUUGCACAGUAACUGGGUUUUAUUAAAACCUUUAGCCCAUAUAUUACAACUAAAUUAAUAAGAUCUACCUCAUUCACUACACAGUAACUAAGGUACAGUAAGGGGUAACACAAAGUAAGCAGUAUGUCCUAGUGAGGUGUAAAUAUAUUCAUUGGGGAGCAUUUAGAUAAAUCUGAUAGAAAAAUGAACUGAUAUUACUAUAAAAUAAGCUCCAAAAUAGUUCUUGAAGAGUUCCUCAGACCUUUUACUUCUUGUUAUCAUUAAAUGUAGAACUGGUUGCAUAACUUAUUGCAAAUAAUGAUUGUUGUACAUUUUUGACAUCUCUGCAGUGACUAAAUUAUAAUUUUUUAUUAUAAUUAAAAGAAAUUUCUCCGUUCUGUGCA